GGUUUCGUAGCUCAGUUGGUCAGAUCGCAUGCUUAACAGUCGUCAGACAGUUCCGCAUGAUGUCCCCGGUUCGAGCCCGGGCGAAAUCA